ACGAACGCUGGCGGCGUGCUUAACACAUGCAAGUCGAACGGAAAGGCCCUGCUUUUGUGGGGUGCUUGAGUGGCGAACGGGUGAGUAACACGUGAGUAACCUGCCCUUGACUUUGGGAUAACUUCAGGAAACUGGGGCUAAUACCGGAUAGGAGCUCCUGCUGCAUGGUGGGGGUUGGAAAGUUUCGGCGGUUGGGGAUGGACUCGCGGCUUAUCAGCUUGUUGGUGGGGUAGUGGCUUACCAAGGCUUUGACGGGUAGCCGGCCUGAGAGGGUGGCCGGCCACAUUGGGACUGAGAUACGGCCCAGACUCCUACGGGAGGCAGCAGUGGGGAAUAUUGCACAAUGGGCGGAAGCCUGAUGCAGCAACGCCGCGUGCGGGAUGACGGCCUUCGGGUUGUAAACCGCUUUCGCCUGUGACGAAGCGUGAGUGACGGUAAUGGGUAAAGAAGCACCGGCUAACUACGUG
rnacentral:rRNA from 1 species